UGAGUCCUGGUUGUCUUGGUCUUAUCUGUGUUCUCCUCAGCCCAUCUUGUCUCAUUGCUCUCUCACUGUCCCUCACUUUCUGUCUCUGUGUUGUGUUUCCUGUUUUAUUUUGGUAGUCCUGGUCUUGUGUGCAUUGUGUUUACUUUUGCGUCACCCCAUCUUGUUAUGUCUGAUUUGUUUCUCCUGUGUUCCCACCUGCUGCCCAUCCCCUCGUAAUCCUGUUUAAAUCUUCAAUCUGCUGUCUCCCUGGGUAAAGUACUAGUGCAACAAAGCUGGCUCUUUGAGUUUAUUCCCCUGUCUCUGAGUCCUGUGUUUGGGUCCUGCCUUGCCUGCCACACAGCACCACCAUGACAGAGUCGCCUUUGUCACCACAGGCGAUCGAUAUCCUGGCGCUGCCGAGGCUAACAAGGGGCUUCGUCUGCUGCGGCCAGCACUCCUGCCUGUCACCAGACGCUCAAGGCUCUCCGGCCCUGAGCCUCGACUCCCUUUGGUGUUACCGUGGCCCAGGCCCACCCUACCUUCCACACAGCUGUAUUUUACACCUAAUUACACAUGUCUGAGGCCUACGGCAAGGAGUACGAGGCUUUGGGGAAUUGUUCCUGCAAAGACAGGCCAAAGGGACUCACUGUUGGUAUCUCUCUGGUAGGGAUUAAGUCAUGCUUACAGUAACCGCAGUACAAAGAAAGAGACUCAGUGACCCAGACUCACUCUGCUUGUGUUGUUUUACGUCACUGUUGUGAGUUUUGAGGAGCUGCACGGCUUAAUGGAUACAUGAUGAAACUUCCAGAGAACCUGGAGUUAGACUGAGGACAGUGGAAACAGGAUUUCAUUCCCCUGCUAACCCAAAAUGCUUAAACUGCACCCUGUUAAGUAUGAAUAACUACUAUGUUGCAUCCAUGUGUUUUUUUUUACCCUGAGUCACACUAAUGUCCUUCAGCUGUUGCUGCUUUGUUAAUGUGGAAGUGGAUAAAGCAACUCACUGUGAAGAUUCAAAUCCAAAAACAGCAAUUAAAAAACCCAUAUUUAGCAUGGCUUGUUAGUGAGUAGCUUUUACUCUUUGGACCAACUUCUCUCCAUUAUCCCAAUGUUGCAUUUCCUUUCAUAUAGGGCAGCAAAGAAAUUGCAUGUUAUUUGGAAUUGGAAAUUAUUUUUUAUUUUUUAACUUGAGCGUCUCAGCGUCUAGUUUGAAGUUGCUGCAGCUGCUUCUCACCCACUCUUCUCACCAACUUCCCACAGUAAUGGAGCUAUAAUCAUACACACAGAAAAGGAGAAGAGGAAAAACAUUCAAGAAUUGGCUGCUAGUAGAUGUAUCGCACAUCUCAGAUUUCAGCUUCUCUCAUCAGCUAACCACGAAUAUAGUGUAUGUGAAUGCUUCUAGUCAAAUCAGAAAUCCUGGGCUGAUGCUUGAUUUAGCUUAGUUAGUAAAUGUCGUAUCACAUUUAAUAUUCUCUUGCUUUCAAACAACAGUGCCUAGUAAAUGAAUAUAUCCCUUGUUUUCUUUUGUUGUUUUUCUUUUCUUAGUUUUCUGUCUGAUGUUACUUACAAUACCUUAUUUUCCAAAUGUAUCUAUGGCAGUGAACUGUCAUAGUGAAUCAGUACAUUUU